rnacentral:rRNA from 1 species
AACGAACGCUGGCGGCAGGCCUAACACAUGCGAGUCGAGCGCCCCGCAAGGGGAGCGGCGGACGGGUGAGUAACGCGUGGGAACGUACCCUUUGCUACGGAAUAGCCUCGGGAAACUGGGAGUAAUACCGUAUGUGCCCUUCGGGGGAAAGAUUUAUCGGCAAAGGAUCGGCCCGCGUUGGAUUAGGUAGUUGGUGGGGUAAUGGCCUACCAAGCCGACGAUCCAUAGCUGGUUUGAGAGGAUGAUCAGCCACACUGGGACUGAGGCACGGCCCAGACUCCUACGGGAGGCAGCAGUGGGGAAUCUUAGACAAUGGGCGCAAGCCUGAUCUAGCCAUGCCGCGUGAGCGAUGAAGGCCUUAGGGUUGUAAAGCUCUUUCAGUGGGGAAGAUAAUGACUGUACCCACAGAAGAAGCCCCGGCUAACUCCGUGCCAGCAGCCGCGGUAAAGUCAGUAACU